rnacentral:rRNA from 1 species
UAACCUACCUAAUAAGACGUGGGAUAACGUUACGGGAAACCGGAGCUAAUACGAUAAUAUUCGAACCGCAUGGUUCGAUAGUAGAAAGAUGGUUUUGCUAUCACUUAUAGAUGGACCCGCGCCGUAUUAGCUAGUUGGUAAGGUAACGGCUUACCAAGGCGACGAUACGUAGCCGACCUGAGAGGGUGAUCGGCCACACUGGAACUGAGACACGGUCCAGACUCCUACGGGAGGCAGCAGCC